GACAGAGGGUGCGAGCGUUGUUCGGAAUUACUGGGCGUAAAGCGUGCGCAGGCGGUUUUGUAAGCCAGAUGUGAAAGCCCCGGGCUCAACCUGGGAAUGGCAUUUGGGACUGCAAGGCUUGAGUGCGGCAGAGGAGACUGGAAUUCCUGGUGUAGCGGUGAAAUGCGCAGAUAUCAGGAGGAACACCGGUGGCGAAGGCGGGUCUCUGGGCCGAUACUGACGCUGAGGAGCGAAAGCGUGGGGAGCGAACAGG
rnacentral:rRNA from 1 species